rnacentral:rRNA from 1 species
GAUAAGGAGCUUGCUCCUUUGACGUUAGCGGCGGACGGGUGAGUAACACGUGGGUAACCUACCUAUAAGACUGGGAUAACUUCGGGAAACCGGAGCUAAUACCGGAUAACAUUUGGAACCGCAUGGUUCUAAAGUGAAAGAUGGUUUUGCUAUCACUUAUAGAUGGACCCGCGCCGUAUUAGCUAGUUGGUAAGGUAACGGCUUACCAAGGCGACGAUACGUAGCCGACCUGAGAGGGUGAUCGGCCACACUGGAACUGAGACACGGUCCAGACUCCUACGGGAGGCAGCAGUAGGGAAUCUUCCGCAAUGGGCGAAAGCCUGACGGAGCAACGCCGCGUGAGUGAUGAAGGGUUUCGGCUCGUAAAACUCUGUUAUUAGGGAAGAACAAACGUGUAAGUAACUGUGCAUGUCUUGACGGUACCUAAUCAGAAAGCCACGGCUAACUACGUGCCAGCAGCCGCGGUAAUACGUAGGUGGCAAGCGUUAUCCGGAAUUAUUGGGCGUAAAGCGCGCGUAGGCGGUUUCUUAAGUCUGAUGUGAAAGCCCACGGCUCAACCGUGGAGGGUCAUUGGAAACUGGGAAACUUGAGUGCAGAAGAGGAAAGUGGAAUUCCAUGUGUAGCGGUGAAAUGCGCAGAGAUAUGGAGGAACACCAGUGGCGAAGGCGACUUUCUGGUCUGUAACUGACGCUGAUGUGCGAAAGCGUGGGGAUCAAACAGGAUUAGAUACCCUGGUAGUCCACGCCGUAAACGAUGAGUGCUAAGUGUUAGGGGGUUUCCGCCCCUUAGUGCUGCAGCUAACGCAUUAAGCACUCCGCCUGGGGAGUACGACCGCAAGGUUGAAACUCAAAGGAAUUGACGGGGACCCGCACAAGCGGUGGAGCAUGUGGUUUAAUUCGAAGCAACGCGAAGAACCUUACCAAAUCUUGACAUCCUUUGAAAACUCUAGAGAUAGAGCCUUCCCCUUCGGGGGACAAAGUGACAGGUGGUGCAUGGUUGUCGUCAGCUCGUGUCGUGAGAUGUUGGGUUAAGUCCCGCAACGAGCGCAACCCUUAAGCUUAGUUGCCAUCAUUAAGUUGGGCACUCUAGGUUGACUGCCGGUGACAAACCGGAGGAAGGUGGGGAUGACGUCAAAUCAUCAUGCCCCUUAUGAUUUGGGCUACACACGUGCUACAAUGGACAAUACAAAGGGCAGCUAAACCGCGAGGUCAUGCAAAUCCCAUAAAGUUGUUCUCAGUUCGGAUUGUAGUCUGCAACUCGACUACAUGAAGCUGGAAUCGCUAGUAAUCGUAGAUCAGCAUGCUACGGUGAAUACGUUCCCGGGUCUUGUACACACCGCCCGUCACACCACGAGAGUUUGUAACACCCGAAGCCGGUGGAGUAACCAUUUAUGGAGCUAGCC